UACAGAGGGUGCGAGCGUUGUUCGGAAUUAUUGGGCGUAAAGCGCUUGUAGGCGGCUUGUUAAGUUCCGUGUGAAAUCCCCAGGCUUAACCUGGGAAGUGCGCGGAAAACUGGCGAGCUUGAGUGCCCGGAGAGGGUCGCGGAAUUCCCGGUGUAGAGGUGAAAUUCGUAGGAUAUCGGGAAGGAACACCAGUGGCGAAAGGCGGCGACCUGGACGGACACUGACGCUGAGACGCGAAAGCGUGGGGAGGC
rnacentral:rRNA from 1 species